CCGCAUAAGCGCACAGCAUCGCAUGAUGCAGUGUGAAAAACUCCGGUGGUAUAAGAUGGACCCGCGUUGGAUUAGCUAGUUGGUGAGGUAACGGCCCACCAAGGCGACGAUCCAUAGCCGACCUGAGAGGGUGACCGGCCACAUUGGGACUGAGACACGGCCCAAACUCCUACGGGAGGCAGCAGUGGGGAAUAUUGCACAAUGGGCGAAAGCCUGAUGCAGCGACGCCGCGUGAGCGAAGAAGUAUUUCGGUAUGUAAAGCUCUAUCAGCAGGGAAGAUAAUGACGGUACCUGACUAAGAAGCACCGGCUAAAUACGUGCCAGCAGCCGCGGUAAUACGUAUGGUGCAAGCGUUAUCCGGAUUUACUGGGUGUAAAGGGAGCGCAGGCGGUGCGGCAAGUCUGAUGUGAAAGCCCGGGGCUCAACCCCGGUACUGCAUUGGAAACUGUCGUACUAGAGUGUCGGAGGGGUAAGCGGAAUUCCUAGUGUAGCGGUGAAAUGCGUAGAUAUUAGGAGGAACACCAGCGGCGAAGGCGGCUUACUGGACGAUAACUGACGCUGAGGCUCGAAAGCGUGGGGAGCAAACAGGAUUAGAUACCCUGGUAGUCCACGCCGU
rnacentral:rRNA from 1 species